GAUGAACGCUGGCGGCGUGCCUAAUACAUGCAAGUCGAGCGAACAGAUGAGGAGCUUGCUCCUCUGACGUUAGCGGCGGACGGGUGAGUAACACGUGGAUAACCUACCUAUAAGACUGGGAUAACUUCGGGAAACCGGAGCUAAUACCGGAUAAUAUAUUGAACCGCAUGGUUCAAUAGUGAAAGACGGUUUUGCUGUCACUUAUAGAUGGAUCCGCGCCGCAUUAGCUAGUUGGUAAGGUAACGGCUUACCAAGGCAACGAUGCGUAGCCGACCUGAGAGGGUGAUCGGCCACACUGGAACUGAGACACGGUCCAGACUCCUACGGGAGGCAGCAGUAGGGAAUCUUCCGCAAUGGGCGAAAGCUUGACGGAGCAACGCCGCGUGAGUGAUGAAGGUCUUCGGAUCGUAAAACUCUGUUAUUGGGGAAGAACAAAUGUGUAAGUAACUAUGCACGUCUUGACGGUACCUAAUCAGAAAGCCACGGCUAACUACGUG
rnacentral:rRNA from 1 species